AGGGGAACCGAGGGUAAUGGGAGCCAGAGGGUAAUGGGAGCGAUGCGCCUAAAGACUAAACUACAGCUCGUAUUUACUGAGUUGCCACUUUGGCCCUUUCGGCACACUGCGUUUGUGUCCCCCCGUGCCGCUCGACUCGCCACUGCCACGUGUUAUGUGACCCCGAACGCUUGUCAAUUUUGUAGUCCGCGCUUAUAAAAAAUACGAAAUUUCAAAUUGCCAGAUAUCAAAAUGCCAAGAAAACGAGAACGCACCACUAUGAAAGCAUCUUGGACCGUAGAAACGUUAGAAAAUGCGGUCCAAAAAAUUCAGCGUGACGGUACAUCAGUAUACAAGGUAUCAAUAGAGACAGGAAUACCCUACAGCACCUUGAAAAAAAGAUUCAGAUUGGCUAAGGUCAAUGAUGCUAGCUACAGGCGUCCUCCUAAACUAGGAAGGCCAUCUGUGUUCACUGAGGAACAAGAAUUAAUUCUGGCUAAUCACCUACAUACAAUGUCAAAAAAAAUUUACGGACUGACGAGGGCUCAGUUUUGUAAAGUAUGCUACGCCAUGGCUGAAAGAUUUGGUGUCGCAGAUCGAUUUAAUGAAAUCAAGAAGUCUGCGGGCAGAGACUUUCUAACUGGCUCUUUUCAACGACAUCAUGAUUUAAGUAUUAGAAAGCCAGAAGCGACAAGCAUCAAUAGGAUACUUGGGUUCAAUAAAGCUGAAGUGGAUCAAUUCUUUGAAAAUUUGGAAAAAGUCAUGACAAAAUACCACUUUCCACCAUCUCAAAUUUACAAUAUGGAUGAGACUGGCGUAACUACGGUUCAGGAUACAGAAAAGAUUAUAGCGCCUAGGGGUCAAAAACGUAUAGGAGCAGUCACGUCAUGGGAAAGAGGUAAAAACGUAACCACUAUCUGUGCUAUGAGUGCUUCAGGGUCGUUCAUUCCGCCUCUUUUUAUUUUCCCUCGACAGCGUCACUCACCACAGCUAGAAAAAGACGGUC